rnacentral:rRNA from 1 species
AGUAGUGUAUGCUUCUCCUAAAGACUAAGCCAUGCAUGCCUACGAAUAGAAGAGCUUUCUCUUUGAAUCUGCGAACGGCUCCGCAAACCAGUUGUAAACUAUCGCAAGCACGCCCCAGGGUCGGCCGCAAGGUCAGCCUUGGGGUAAUAAGGAUAACCCUGGUAAUUCUGAGGCUAAUACAAGAGCGUAACCCCUGACUAACCGGCAACGGAAGGUCGGGGAACGUGUGAUACAGCGCAAAGAUUGCUGGGAAUAGGUGCACGUUCAGACCACCAAACCAAACAGUGGCUGUAGCUUCGGCGAAGGCUUCCUGGGUGGCUCUUGCUGUGUGCUUCUGACCUAUCAACUUGAUGGCAGCGUAACGGACAUGCCAUGGUUACAACGGGUACAGAGGAUAAGGGUUCGAUCCUGGAGAGUGGGCCUGAGAGAUUGCUCACACUUCUAAGGAAGGCAGCAGGCGCGCAACGUUCCCCUUGGGCAAUGCUCGAGGGCGUUAGGGGACAUAUGAAUGUCUGCCUCAUGGUGGACAAUUCAAAUGGGUCUGUUCUAAACAGCCUCU